GACGAACGCUGGCGGCGUGCCUAAUACAUGCAAGUAGAACGCACAGUUUAUACCGUAGCUUGCUACACCAUAAACUGUGAGUUGCGAACGGGUGAGUAACGCGUAGGUAACCUGCCUGGUAGCGGGGGAUAACUAUUGGAAACGAUAGCUAAUACCGCAUAAUAUUGAUUAUUGCAUGAUAAUUGAUUGAAAGAUGCUAUUGCAUCACUACCAGAUGGACCUGCGUUGUAUUAGCUAGUAGGCGAGGUAACGGCUCACCUAGGCGACGAUACAUAGCCGACCUGAGAGGGUGAUCGGCCACACUGGGACUGAGACACGGCCCAGACUCCUACGGGAGGCAGCAGUAGGGAAUCUUCGGCAAUGGACGAAAGUCUGACCGAGCAACGCCGCGUGAGUGAAGAAGGUUUUCGGAUCGUAAAGCUCUGUUGUAAGAGAAGAACGGGUGUGAGAGUGGAAAGUUCACACUGUGACGGUAUCUUACCAGAAAGGGACGGCUAACUACGUG
rnacentral:rRNA from 1 species